AUAUUUUUUAUUUUCCGAGCUGUAUUACCUAAAUGUAUUUACUGCACACGGUAAUCAUGCCGGGUUCUUCAAUGGAGCCCCGGGUUUAACCGGAAACGGUUAUGCCUCCACUUACUUUUAGGAAAGGAAAAUUUUACGGCAUUUA
rnacentral:ncRNA from 2 species